rnacentral:tRNA from 1 species
GGGUCGCUAGCUCAGCGGUAGAGCACUACCUUCACACGGUAGGGGUCAUAGGUUCGAUCCCUAUGCGACCCACCA